UGGAGAAUUAUUUAAAGCAACAACAUCAUGUUUUAAUAGAUUGACCUUUGGUUAAGACAAUGGGAAUGACAUGUAAUUUCUCUAGCCAGAAGUUAGGUCUUCUCAUUGUCAAAAUUGGGAUAUGGAGAGGGUCACUGAAAUGCCUAUCCUCCUAACACUGUUUAAGGAAAAGAAGUAGAGAAGAAGGAAGAGGUGAUGGUAGUUCCAUGACUGUCCCUAUGUCUGCUGCACCUAAUGUCCCCUUCUUCAGAACUGACUUCUAAUUGGACAAAUUGGGAGUGUCCAUUAUUAUGUGGUUGUUGAGUUUCUGCAGGAUCAAUUACCCUGAAUGGAUGGAAAAAAAAGUGAUACAUAUUAAAGGAACUAGAUGAUGAUCCAGCUCCCUGCCACCUCUUUUCUUCCAAAAGGAGGACCAGCAUUACCUGUCUGCUUUUGUAAGGAUUAAAAAUCACCAGGUAUGGGGGAGAGAGUUUCUCAAAGGCUCCUUGCUCCCUGAGGGCCAUCACACUAAAUGGAGGAUGAUGAUGAAGGUCUGCUUUCUGUAGCCAUGAGGAACACAUUCCAGCAUUUUGACUAAGGUUUGGCUUAUUUUUUUGUUAAUUGUCAGGCUUCAAUUCAAAGUGGGAAAAAUAGAAAGGUAUUGAAGUUUUUGCCUACCUCUACCUCACCCAUUCCACCAAUUCUGACUUGAACUUUGAAUUUAAGGCAAUUUUAGCUCUAGUUCAGGUUUAAAUUUCAGAGACAGAGAAGGGUAACAGGAGAAAAGGACAAAGAACGACCAAUGUGGAUGGGUUCUUGCAGAUGAGUUGUUCCAAAUCAGAAGUAAAGGAGUAGAAUUAUGGGUUUUUGAGCUUGAAGAGAUUCUAGAGAUUAACUAGUAAAAAUCCUCUUCUUUUACAGAUGAGGAAACUGAAUUUCAGAGAGAGGGAUCAAUGGCUAAAAAUAAUGUAGGUACUAAAUAAGUGAGCUAGGGUUUUGAAUCCAGAUUUUCUGAUUCCAAAUAGAAUGUGGUUUUCAUUACAUCUUUAAAAGAGUUGUUAGUCAUUUUCAGUCAUGCCUGAUUCCUCGUGACCCCAUUUGGAUUUUUCUCAGCAAAGAUACUGGAGUGGAUUGCCACUUCCUUUUCCAGCUCAUUUUAUAAAUGAGGAAAACUGGACAAAUUGAGGAAACUGGGUUAAUUGACUUGCCCAGAGUCAUAAAGCUAGAAAGUAUCUAAGUUUAGAUUUGAACCCAUGAAGAUAUGUCUUCGUGACUUCAGGCUUGGUACUUAAUCCACUGUAUUUUCUAGCUGCCUUCUCUUUAAAAGAGACUCAAAAACAACCCAAAAGGCCAUUCCCCUCCAAUUGCUAGCACAGUGCU